GGUAAUGCCGGAUGCUCCAGUUGAUCGCAUGGUCUUCUGGGAAAGCUUUCGCGGUAUGGGAUGGGGUCGCGUCCUAUCAGCUUGACGGCGGGGUAACGGCCCACCGUGGCUUCGACGGGUAGCCGGCCUGAGAGGGCGACCGGCCACAUUGGGACUGAGAUACGGCCCAGACUCCUACGGGAGGCAGCAGUGGGGAAUAUUGCACAAUGGGCGCAAGCCUGAUGCAGCGACGCCGCGUGAGGGAUGGAGGCCUUCGGGUUGUAAACCUCUUUUAUCGGGGAGCAAGCGUGAGUGAGUUUACCCGUUGAAUAAGCACCGGCUAACUACGUGCCAGCAGCCGCGGUAAUACGUAGGGUGCAAGCGUUAUCCGGAAUUAUUGGGCGUAAAGGGCUCGUAGGCGGUUCGUCGCGUCCGGUGUGAAAGUCCAUCGCUUAACGGUGGAUCCGCGCCGGGUACGGGCGGGCUUGAGUGCGGUAGGGGAGACUGGAAUUCCCGGUGUAACGGUGGAAUGUGUAGAUA
rnacentral:rRNA from 1 species